rnacentral:rRNA from 1 species
AUGGAUUGGCCGGCUCUCACCAGCUGCACCACGGUCAUGAUCCUUCUCUUCCUACCGUUGAGCACUUCCCAAGACCGGCUUGUCCCUGGCAGGGCGCUGUCCCCUGGUAACACCAUCGUCUCCGAUGAUGGUGGAUUCGCCUUGGGCUUCUUCAACCCCUCCAAUUCUUCUCCGGCCAGCCUGUACCUAGGCGUAUGGUACAACGACAUCCCCGAGCUCACCGUUGUGUGGGUCGCCAACUGA